AUCUUGGUGGUAGUAGCAA
rnacentral:ncRNA from 3 species